UACGUAGGGGGCAAGCGUUGUCCGGAAUCAUUGGGCGUAAAGAGCGUGUAGGCGGCCAGAUAAGUCCGCUGUGAAAACUCGAGGCUCAACUUCGAGCUGUCGGCGGAAACUAUCUGGCUAGAGUCCGGAAGAGGAGAGUGGAAUUCCUGGUGUAGCGGUGAAAUGCGCAGAUAUCAGGAAGAACACCGGUGGCGAAGGCGGCUUUCUGGACAGAUACCGACGCUGAGGCACGAAAGCUAGGGGAGCAAACAGG
rnacentral:rRNA from 1 species